GACGAACGCUGGCGGCGUGCUUAACACAUGCAAGUCGAACGGAAAGGCCCUGCUUUUGUGGGGUGCUCGAGUGGCGAACGGGUGAGUAACACGUGAGUAACCUGCCCUUGACUUUGGGAUAACUUCAGGAAACUGGGGCUAAUACCGGAUAGGAGCUCCUGCUGCAUGGUGGGGGUUGGAAAGUUUCGGCGGUUGGGGAUGGGCUCGCGGCUUAUCAGCUUGUUGGUGGGGUAGUGGCUUACCAAGGCUUUGACGGGUAGCCGGCCUGAGAGGGUGACCGGCCACAUUGGGACUGAGAUACGGCCCAGACUCCUACGGGAGGCAGCAGUGGGGAAUAUUGCACAAUGGGCGGAAGCCUGAUGCAGCAACGCCGCGUGCGGGAUGACGGCCUUCGGGUUGUAAACCGCUUUCGCCUGUGACGAGGCGUGAGUGACGGUAAUGGGUAAAGAAGCACCGGCUAACUACGUG
rnacentral:rRNA from 1 species